rnacentral:tRNA from 1 species
GGGGUGUUAGCUCAGCUUGGUUAGAGUGCCUGCCUGUCACGCAGGAGGUCGCGAGUUCGAGUCUCGUACACCCCGC